rnacentral:rRNA from 1 species
AGUGAACGCUGGCGGUAGGCCUAACACAUGCAAGUUGAACGGCAGCACAGUAAGAGCUUGCUCUUACGGGUGGCGAGUGGCGGACGGGUGAGGAAUACAUCGGACUCUACUUUUUCGUGGGGGAUAACGUAGGGAAACUUACGCUAAUACCGCAUACGACCUACGGGUGAAAGCAGGGGAUCUUCGGACCUUGCGCGAUUGAAUGAGCCGAUGUCGGGUUAGCUAGUUGGCGGGGUAAAGGCCCACCAAGUGGACGAUCCGUAGCUGGUCUGAGAGGAGGGUCAGCCACACGGGAACUGAGACACGGUCCAGACGCCUACGGGAGGCAGUAGUGGGGAAUGUUGGACAAUGGGCGCAAGCCUGAUCCAGCCAGACCGCGUGGGUGAAGAAGGCGUUCGGGUUGUAAAGCCCUUUUGUUGGGAAAGAAAAGCAGCAGGUUAAUACCACGCUGUUCUGACGGUACCCAAAGAAGAAGCACCGGCUAACUUCGUG